CUCAUCUACUGUGAGUAUCUAGCUUCCUUAAAGCAAUUAAGUAUACCUUGUCAAUUCAAUUGUAUACAUGAUAGUUGUAAACGAUCAGUUUCGGCACUUUUCCUACGACCAGUAUUCAUAUGUGGCCUUCGAGAUUCAAAUAUUCGCGAGAGGUUAUUAAUCGAACAAAAACAGUCAUUUGACGAGCUAGUUGAACUUGCGAUCACCCUCGAAGCAUCAAAGAGGAAUAACGAGAAUCUUGCGGCAAGCUGUUCAUCAACCUUACCAACGGGAGUUAUUCAAUCAGCUGUGCAAGUUAAUGAAGUGAAAUCUCACAAGAAAAUUCAUCGAAACCGCAGCCGUAACAGGAAUAGCGAUCAUGUUCGAAAUUCCUCAAACUCUCAAAGUCGCUGUAAUUCACAGACACGUAAUAAAUUCAGUUAUCUAGGAAUAGGUCACUUAUGUUUACGCUGUGCACUGGCAAAUCACUCAUCACGUGAAUGUAGAAUCUCGCAAGAUAAACUGCAUUGCAAUUCGUGCAAUAAAUCCGGGCAUGUUGCUAAAGUCUGCAUAUCUACGUUAUUCAAAAAUCGGAAGAAUCGCAAUGCUUCGGUACAAUACCUCGAUGACCCAAUGCCUUCAAGCAGCUCAAGUUCAAAUUAUGUGCUACAAGUUGUCACCAUUCCAAAUAUUUUGAACACCUCAGUUAACUACACUGACAGAAAGUUUCAAAUUGCUGUGCAAUUAGAAAAUAAGGAAUCCAACUUCGAAAUUGAUUCUGGCAGUCCUGUAACGUUUAUGUCGAAGAGCGAUUAUGAUAAAUUAAAGCUAAGUGCGGUUAUUCAAAGUGCGGACAUUCAAUUUCGUUCGUUUACACUACAGCCAUUCACUCCAUACGGAAAAGCGGAGAUAAGUGUUCAAUAUCGUGAUAUAGGUGCAACACUACCACUUUAUAUCAUUAAUCGAAAUGUAACGUCGAUUUUAGGAAGAGAUUGGAUGAAAACUCUAGGGUUAUCAAUAACUCAUACAAAUCCCAGUGAUCGUACACCACAGGAGCCCUACGCAGUUCAACAAGUGCAGUCUCCCAAUUCAAAUUGUGCGGAAGAAAUAUUUUCUACGUUUGCAGAUCUGUUUAAACCAGAAAUAGGAUGCAUUCCCGGGAUAAAGUGUUCGUUACGAAUUCGCGAAAAUACGAAGCCCAUGUUUUUAAAAAACCGUACAGUGCCAUAUGCGUUACUCGAUAAAGUAAAUAAAGAGCUUGAUAAAUUGGAAUCACAACAAAUAAUUACCAAGACUACACACAGCGAAUGGGGAUCACCUUUAGUAAUCGUACCGAAAUCAAAUAAUGAAGUACGGCUCUGCGUAGAUUUUAAAGCUACAGUCAAUCCAAAUUUACACGAGGCAAGAUACCCCAUCCCAUUAAUCGAAGAUAUUUUCAACAGAUUACGAGGUGGAGUAUAUUAUUGCACCUUAGAUGUACAUAAAGCAUAUUACCACAUCAAAAUGGACGAAGAAAGCUCAAAAAUUCAAGCUAUUUCUACGCACCGCGGAGUCUAUCUCAUGAAUCGAUUGGCUUUUGGAAUUAAAGUCGCACCCAACGAAUUUCAACGUAUCAUGGAUGAAACAUUCUCACACAUUCCAGGCACCGCCGUGUAUUUUGAUGACAUUAUUAUCACAGGUAGUACAAUUGAGGAAUGUCGACAGCGGUUAAUCACCUGCUUACAUAAAUUACGCUCGAUGAAUUUGCAUUUAAAUCGCGACAAGUGCAAGUUGUUUCAAACGGAAGUGACAUAUUUAGGGCACACAAUCGGGAAAUUUGGUAUUAAGAAAACGAAGGAUAAAGUUCAAGCCAUUGUAGAUGCGCCACGCCCGAUCAACUCCGAACAGGUACAUUCCUUUAUUGGUCUUACGAUGUAUUACGCCAAAUUUCUACCUGAUAUCUCGACAAGUACAGCGCCAUUACGUGAACUGUUGAAAAAGAACGUUAAAUUUGUGUGGACAAAUAAAUGUGAAAAGGCUUUCAACGACAUAAAAACGUUAAUAUCGAGUGAUCGAGUUUUAGUGCCCUACGACCCGUCGUUGCCACUUGUGUUAACGCGAGUCCGGUCGGUAUUUCGGGUGUUUUAUCUCAUGUGAUAAACAAUGAAGAGCAUCCGAUUGCUUUUAUUUCUCGUGCGUUAACACAAAGUGAACGAAAUUAUUCCCAGCUUGACCGUGAAGCUACCGCAAUAUUUUGGUCUGUUAAACGACUUUAUAAUUACUUGUAUGGUCGCAAGUUUACCCUUAUUACAGACAAUAGACCACUAUUCCAUAUUCUGUCGCCUUCUAAGCAGAUACCAGCCAUGUCCGCAACACGAUUAAUUCGGUACGCAUCUUUCCUGAGUGCAUUCGAUUUCGACAUAAGUCAUCGCCCAGCAAGUAUGCAUGCAAAUGUCGACUAUUUUUCUCGUGCAACUAAAUCCGGAAGCUUACUAAUUCCGAACUAAUCACGGCUUCAACAGUAGCGAAAGAGACCGCCCAAGAUGAAGAGUUAUCUGCGUUACUACACUCGAUAUCAACGUCUCUCGAAUACGCUCCGGAAUACUCGACACAUAAAGGAGUAGUAUUACGAGGGAAUCGAGUCGUAAUACCUACGAGCUUACGCCCUCAAAUUUUACAACAACUGCAUUCCGUGCAUAGCGGGAUCACGAAAAUGAAAAUGAUCGCCCGUAACUACGUCUAUUGGCAUGGAAUAGAUCGUGACAUUGAAAAUAUCGCCAAAUCCUGCGCCGUCUGUGCAAAAAUGCAAUCAGAUCCGGUGAAGGUUCCAAUCCAUUCGUGGGAAAAGCCUGACGCUCCAUGGCAACGCCUUCACAUAGAUUAUGCGGGACCCAAGGAUGGUAAAUUUUAUUUUGUAAUCAUCGAUAGCCACUCAAAUUGGCCAGAAGUAUUUGCAUCGAAUAGUGCUCCUAAUACAGAAUUGACAAUCGAAUAUCUACGAGAAGUGUUUUCGCGGUUUGGCAUACCCAGGAUUAUUGUUUCAGAUAACGCCACUAUUUUCACUAGCGAUCGCUUCACAUCUUUCUGCUCGAAUAAUGGAAUCAAACAGUGCUUUUCAGCUCCAGGCCAUCCGGCAACGAACGGCACUGCUGAACGAGCAGUACGGACACUGAAGCAAAGGUUAGCUGCAUUGGCCGAUUCACCGAUUCCGCAUCACAUUAAGCUACACGAAAUUUUAUUUACGUGGAGGAGCACACCCUUGAAUUCAGGAUCGACACCAGCGGAACUCAUGUUAGGACGACCUAUGCGCACCAAAUUUGACAUUCUACGCCCGGCUCAAGAGAAGACACCAUCUGGGAAUUUACUGCCAGUAACACGAAAAUUAAAGGUGGGAGAAAGGGUAUGUGCACGAAAUUACGUAGGAUCGGAAAAAUGGAAGUUUGGCACCAUUUUAGCAGUAUAUGGUAGCCGACAUUAUUUAAUACACCUUGACAAUGGUCAUGUGUUAAAACGUCACAUUAACCAACUUCGAUCGACACAAGUGGAAAAGCCAGAACCGCCAAUGCCAACGCCCAAUCGCAGAAAAGUAUCGUUCGCACCCAACUUGCCCAUCGUACACAUUUAUAACGGGAACCAAAGUGAUCCAUCAAAUAACUUAGUGCCUACACAGCAGGAACGGGAAGUUGGGGAACAACCCGAAGCAGCUACACAGCCCGAACCAGCUGCACAGCCCGAGCCGCAGCUAAUACUCCGACGAUCAAACAGAAUCCGAAACCAACCAGUGUGGAUCCAGGAGUAUGUCACCAAAUAAGACAUUUAUUUAAUUAUUUGUUUUGCUUUUUGUAAUUCUUAAUUCAAAUUGUUUCGACUUCUGCCACUCUAUUUAAAGGUGGGAGAAUUGUUGUAACCUUAA